CCUCCCACCAGCUGCCAGCUGGACAAUUACACCCCUUGCCCGUUCCAAGUCGCCCCUGGUCCCAUAUCGCCCUGGACUUUGUUACUGGACUGCCUACCUCUGAAGGUUUGGCGAGCCUUCUGCCAGGCCUUGGGCGCUUCUGUCAGUCUAUCCUCAGGUUACCACCCACAAUCCAACGGCCAGACAGAA